rnacentral:tRNA from 1 species
GCACCUCUGGGUCCAGAACACGGCGGCCUGAGCCGUGUGGGCGGGUUCGGAUCCUGCCGGGGUGCA